AUGUCACUGCUCAGGUCAAUUGCAGGGCUGAGUAGGGCUGUCCCUGAUUCCCUCUAUACUAUCUCUUCACUCGGUUGCUUGGCUCUAAUUAACAAACAAUUCUGUUUAACCAUGAAUUUAAUUGAAAAUCAAAAGAAGGUCCAUAGAGAUCUAGUCCAAUUUUUUGUUUUACAGAUGAGGGAAUCAAGGCCCAAAGAAGGAAAGGCCUUGACAAAAUUCACAGUGGAGGAGCCAGGCCUAGAACCUAUCUCUCCUAGUCAGGGUAUUUUCUAAAUGCCCUGGCUUCUUGACACCACUCAAAAUGGGAAAUUUUUCAUUUCAAAAACUAAAAAACGUAUCAUGAUUUUUUCCAGAACAGAAAACUUUAGGACAUGGAAGACCAAUUUAUGCAUUUUUUACCUGAUAUAUCACUGAGUGAUAUUCAAGAAAAUGAGAUUUUAGUUCAAAGAUUAAUUCUGCCAAGAUCAUCUCGAAUAUAAUAAGUUAAGAAAUUUCUUAAAAUUAAGUUACCUUCCUUUCUCUACAAUUUUUUGAACUGCAACUUAUUUUAACAUUACAAACCACAAUUUUUGGUUUUUCAAAAGUCAGUGCUCAAAGGCAAAAAAAGGGGGAAAAAGAUGAAACAAAAUAACUUAAGUUUCUAACAAAACACACGACUGGAAGUUGUAAACCUUAAGAACUUUGUCAGGUAAGGCUUUAACCAACAACCCACAUCCUGCUAACAAUUAUACAGAAUUUACUCAAAGAAACAAGCAUUCUCAUAGUUUUGACAAAACACUGAUAGACAAUUACUCACUUUCAGUGAGUACAUAAGUUAUCUAAUACUUUUGUCUUUAAGGCACUCCAGUUUAAAAGGUAGUCAAUUAGAAUCUGGCUGCAAUAUUUACAGUCAACUGAAGAAAUGUAAAUAUUACAAGAAGAUUGUUUUUCCAGGCUUUUCCAGACCCCAUGGGCCAGAUCCAGGCCUGAAAGACAUAUGCAAAGAAUAUCCGAGGCAAAUGUUUAAAUAAUAUUAAGAGUCAAUCAAAUAUAAAGAUAAAUGGUGUCUAGGAGACAGCAGAGGAUAAAGACAAUUCUGGGGCCCUUAACUUUGCAUUUAGGCACAACUAGCCAUUCAUCAUGUACCUUAGUCCUGGUCCCCAAAAGACCUUAAAAACAAAGAAGACCCAGGUGAAGGUCAGACGAAGCCUAGGUCAAUCUGGUUAAAUAGCACGAUUCAUAUUCAGAGAUAUUGCCCCUACAUUAAAUGAUCCCAGAC
rnacentral:lncRNA from 1 species